rnacentral:rRNA from 1 species
UUAGUUUACUAAUGGAGCGGUUAGUGGCGGACUGGUGAGUAACACGUAAGCAACCUGCCUAUCAGAGGGGAACAACAGUUAGAAAUGACUGCUAAUACCGCAUAUGCCUUAGCAACACAUGUUGCAAAAGGGAAAGGAGCAAUCCGCUGAUAGAUGGGCUUGCGUCUGAUUAGAUAGUUGGUGGGGUAACGGCCUACCAAGUCGACGAUCAGUAGCCGGACUGAGAGGUUGAACGGCCACAUUGGGACUGAGAUACGGCCCAGACUCC